rnacentral:rRNA from 1 species
GUCUGUUUGAAGGUUUAAAAAGUCUAGCCUGCCCGCUGAUAAAAUUAUUGAAGGGCCGCGGUAUCUUGACCGUGCGAAGGUAGCAUAAUCAUUAGUUUUUUAAUUGGAAACUUGUAUGAAUGGUUGGACAAAGAAAAAGCUGUCUCUAUAGUAGAAUUUGAAGUUAACUUUUAAGUGAGAAGGCUUAAAUAUUUUAAGGGGACGAUAAGACCCUAUAAAGCUUUAUAUAAUGAUUGAGUUUGGUUGAUGUUUAAGCAAUAAAGACUUAGUUUGAUCAUUAUAUUAUGUUGGGGCGACAUAGGUAUAAGUCAUAAUAACUGCUUAAUGAAGUAUACAAUAAUAUAUGAAUAAUGAAAGUAAAUGAUCCUUGAUAAAGAUUAGAAGGCUAAGUUACUUUAGGGAUAACAGCGUUAUUUUUUUUGAGAGUUCAUAUCGAAAAAAGAGUUUGCGACCUCGAUGUUGAAUUAAAAUAUCUGUAUAAUGUAGCCGUUAUAUUAGAAGGUCUGUUCGACCUUUAAAUUUUU